UGACCUUUGACCAACAAAAUCUAAUCAGUUCAUCAUCCUUUGUGCCAAAUCUGAAGAAAUUCCCUCCAGGUGUUCCUGAGGUAUCGCGUUCAUGAGAAUAAGACGGACAGACGGACGGAAGUACAGACGGACGCACGGAAGUACAGACGGACGGACAACCUGAAAAUAUAAUGCCUCCAGCCACAGCACUCGCCGGCGUGAGUCAUAACAAAAUUUUGCAUUCAUCGAGCAAAAAGCUGCGGAAUAUAUCUGGCAGAGGAACACAGAGUGAAACCGGCGCGCUCCUCGGCUUUCCCCAGGACGAUUACUGUAUUAUACGCAGCGGGGGAAAGCCUCACAGUUUGCUGGCUUCCCUCUGUCAGGUGCAUCACUAAACAUACUGUGCAUCCCUAGUCGGUGUCGCUCCUGUCAGAUCCGGUCUGAUCCAGUCGGGUGAAGGAGAUGGCGGGGGGGUUGGCGGGGCGAGACACAGGCAGCCAUUUGU